GACACCAUAGCCAAGUGGUUACGGCGACAGAUUAGAAAUCUGUUGGGCUUUGCCCGCGUAGGUUCGAAUCCUGCUGGUGUCG
rfam:Heterobasidion irregulare TC 32-1 unplaced genomic scaffold scaffold_07, whole genome shotgun sequence.